rnacentral:rRNA from 1 species
GACGAACGCUGGCGGCGUGCCUAAUACAUGCAAGUCGAACGAACCGCGACUGAGUGCUUGCACUUGGUCAAGGUGAGUGGCGAACGGGUGAGUAACACGUGGGUAACCUACCUCAUAGUGGGGGAUAACAGUCGGAAACGACUGCUAAUACCGCAUAGGACAUAGGAUCACAUGAUCCAGUGAGGAAAGGUGGCGCAAGCUAUCGCUAAGAGAUGGACCCGCGGUGCAUUAGCUAGUUGGUAGGGUAAAGGCCUACCAAGGCGAUGAUGCAUAGCCGACCUGAGAGGGUGAUCGGCCACAGUGGGACUGAGACACGGCCCAAACUCCUACGGGAGGCAGCAGUAGGGAAUCUUCCGCAAUGGACGCAAGUCUGACGGAGCAACGCCGCGUGAGUGAAGAAGGUCUUCGGAUCGUAAAGCUCUGUUGUUAGAGAAGAACAGCGCAUAGAGUAACUGCUAUGCGUGUGACGGUAUCUAACCAGAAAGCCACGGCUAACUACGUG